rfam:Triticum aestivum genome assembly, contig: Triticum_aestivum_CS42_TGACv1_scaffold_001718_1AL
CACGAACUCCCUUCGUUCGAAAUUACUUGUCUCGGAAAUGGAUGUAUCUAGAACUAAAAUAUGUCUAGAUACAUCCAUUUUUAUGACGAGUAAUUUCGAACGGAGGAAGUACAAC